CGAUGGACGAAGCGCGAGCCGGAGCGGUUACGUUGGGGGGUAGGGAGGUAAAAAGAGACCCGGAGCAACAGGUCUCCCGCUUUAUUCCAGGUACACAGACAAAGAUUGUGGGACUAUUUUUUUUUUUAAUUUUUGGCAGUAAUAAUAAUACCAAUACUGUCAGGAUAAUGGGGAACACCAGCAGUGACCGCAUGGGAGCAGAUCGCCAUGGAGGGCACAAGUCCCACCGUACUGACAGCAUGGGAUCUUCUCAGUCAUCAAAGGAGAAUGAACGUCCUAAAAUCAUGGUGGACAGCACAGAUGACCCCAACAUUUUUCACACACGAGACUCAAAGGCUCUCACUGAUAAGGAGUUUGUGUCCUGGCAGCCUGACAUGGAUGAAUCUGUAAAAUUGUCUAAGCAAGCUCGUCCCACAGUCAUUCGCUGGGUAGGUGGAGGAAAAGAAGUGUUCAUAUCUGGAUCCUUCAAUAACUGGCAUACCAAGAUCCCACUUAUUAAAAGCCAUAAUGAUUUUAUUGCUAUUCUUGACCUGCCAGAAGGAGAACACCAGUACAAGUUCUUUGUAGAUGGGCAGUGGGCUCAUGAUCCUUCAGAGCCAGUGACAACCAGUCAGCUUGGGACAAUCAAUAAUGUUAUUCAAGUCAAGAAAUCUGACUUUGAAGUGUUUGACGCCCUCAAACUGGACUCGCUGGAGUGUUCAGAUACCUCGGAUUUGUCAAGUUCCCCCCCAGGACCAUACCAUCAGGAGAUGUAUGUGCUGAGGCCUGAAGAGCGCUUUAAGGCACCUCCCAUUUUACCUCCCCAUUUGCUCCAGGUCAUUCUCAACAAGGACACACAUAUUUCAUGUGAUCCUGCAUUAUUACCUGAACCGAACCAUGUGAUGCUGAAUCAUCUAUAUGCACUUUCCAUAAAACUUGUUGCAGCACAUUAGAUCCUUCAGUUAAUUGUUCACUGCCAGUUAUGCGGAGAGCCCAGAAUAAAGACACUGAAGAGUCAAUAUUGGGUGCAGAGUUUACAGAAGACCUUUAGAUGCUCAAGAUGGCGUGAUGGUUCUUAGUGCCACCCAUCGGUAUAAGAAGAAAUACGUAACUACUUUACUCUAUAAGCCAAUCUGAUCUGCCAUCUCUAUAGUCAGCAUGUCCAAAUGGUAAAUGAAUGCUUCUGUUGGUUGGUCGCUCAGUGAUGGAGCUUCAUUAGGAUUUUAGCAGUUGUGUUGGUUGCCUUCUACAUAAUCGCUACAAGCACUUUACCACAUUGAGGUACAAGUCAGACACUGAAUACUAUAGCAUCAGUUAGGACAAUGCAGAUUGUUCACAGUGGAUUUGCAUUUUGGGAAACUUGAAAUGCAUCUGAAAUCAAGGGACUAACCUUAGUUAUGAUGAGUUUAUAGUUGGAAUUCAAAAGAUGAUAUAAUCGUUAAAUACCAUAAACGCUUGCUUAGUAUUUAAUAAGUAUUGCAUUUUACUUUGGGUAUGAGGCUUGAUCUUUUUUGCUUUAAUAAUGUGAACCUUUGUUUUUGAUCAAAACCUCUUAAUGUUUACUUUGUGGAAAGAAAUCCAGCUUUCAGCAACAUGUUGUCUUUAAGACCUGGACCCUGUUUUAUAUCAACGCAGCUGUUUACUUUGUUAUAGAUGUACAGGUGUGACUAUUUCCCGAUUGGUUUGCAAAUGUGAAGUACAUCAAAUAAUAGAUCUCACCUGAGCUGGCAAAUGUAUUUACAAUGCUAUUAACGGAUUCGCAAAAAAAAUAAAAUUUGCAAUCCAUGAGGUUAGAAUUAGAAUAUUAUAAACUAGGUAAGUUAAGACCUCAUUUGCACAAUAGUCAAUGCACUGAAUAGAGGAUUUGGUUUGUGAUUAAAUAAUAACAAUAAUGAAGUUCAGAAUGACACAAAAUGCACUGAUGAAAUGGGCAGGUAAAUGGCAGAUGAAAUUAAAUGUAGAAAAGUGUGAAGUGAUACAUUUUGGUAGAAGAAUGAGAAGAGGCAAUAUGAAAUAAAUUGUACGAUUUUAAAGGGUAUGCAAGAACAGAACACAUCAUUGAGGGCAACAGGAGAAGUUGAGAAGCUGUUUGUUAUUGAAAGGAAAGUAUAUGGAAUCCGUGGCUUGAGCAGUUGCAGCAUAGGUUACAAAAGAGAAGAAAUUAUGCUAAACCUUUAAGGUACUGGUUCGGCAUCAGCUAGAAUAUUGUGUUCAAUUCACCAAAAUAUCAAGGACUAGGCUGCAAGAAGAGAUUUGCUAGGAUGGUACCAAAUGAGGGAUUUUAGCUUUGUGAAGGGAAUAUCAAAGUUGGGGAUGUUCUCCUUAGAGCAUAGAAGAUUCAGAGGACAUUUGAUAGAGGUGUUCAAAAUCAUGAAUGGUGUUGAUUAGAGUAAAAAAGGAAAAAUAGUUUUCAGCAGCAAACAGGUAAGUAACCAGAGGAAAGAGGUUUAAGAUGAUAGGCAAAAGAACAAGGGGCAACAUUUUUAGACAGCAAGUUGUUGUAAUCUGGACUUCUUUGUCUGAAAGGAAGCAGAUUCAAUUGUAACUUUCAAAAGGGACUUGGAUAAAUACUUGAAGGGAAAAUAUUUACAAGGCUAUGAGGAAAGAGCAAGAGAAUGGGGUAAUAACUCUUUCAAAGAACCAGCACGGGUGCAAUGACUGACUGGUCUCCUUCAGUGCUGUAUCAUUCUGUGAUUCUAUAAAUGCCAUAUCAUUUACAUGCAGCUGUAUUCCACUUUGUGAUCUGAUCCUAGUCUGAGAUCUGUGAACUGACAGCUAGAGGGAUAGGAGAGCGUUAUACCUAUGGAAUCGUUUAGGGUUCACAAGCACUAAUUUUCCCAUUGUUCUUCAAUUCUAAGUUUUUCAGACCAAGUUUAUCUCAUCCUGGUGUUUCAGCCAGCAAAAGUAAACAACAUAAAGGCAACAUCACCAGUUGAGAGGCUUCAUUUUAUUUCAGUUUAUUUUAAAAUGCUGUUGCUGCUUUGACAUUUAAUUUUAUCAACACUGAUGCAGGUAACUAAUCUAAAGCUGCAAAUUACAAGUGGACUUGUUACACCACUAAUAUCUGGGGUCAUUGCUCGUCUGCAGAAAUUAUCUGAUAAAUUGGGAAAUAAUAAUUGGCACAUUUUAUAUUGCCAAAUAUCUGAUGACCGCGAUUGCUGGAUCAUUUAUAUGACUUGCUAGCAGAGACUAGUAACAGAAAUGGAGUACUGCAACAGUGAAGUACUAGGCAGAUUUGUACAUUUGAUGCUUACUAGGCACAUUUUACUCAUUAAAAAUUAUCACAAUACAUGUCUUUCCUUUUGAAGCAAAUAGGAAACUGAGAGUUGUGACAGUUUUCCUGACAUCAAAGUUUCAUUCCAGGGAAUAGAAUGACAAAUGAUCUAAAAUGUCUUUAGGGCAGUGUGAAGGUUUGAGGAAUUCCAAAGCUUUAAGUUGUUAAUGACCUGAAUGACGAAUGUUUUCUCCCUAUGUUUCCACUGGAGUACAAAGUGGCCCAGGUUUACUUGUGUAUGAAAUGGCAUGAAUCUUUAAGUCUUCACAGAGACAACUGGAGUGCACAUUUUAAUAUAUAAAUAGAUGCAUAUACUUUAAGAUUGUAACAAAAAUAAAUUAUCUCAGCUUAUUCAAAAA